rnacentral:rRNA from 1 species
AGCUGAUCAUUGGGUGUAAAGGGUGCGCAGGCGGUUUUGUAAGACAGAGGUGAAAUCCCCGGGCUCAACCUGGGAACUGCCUUUGUGACUGCAAGGCUGGAGUGCGGCAGAGGGGGAUGGAAUUCCGCGUGUAGCAGUGAAAUGCGUAGAUAUGCGGAGGAACACCGAUGGCGAAGACAAUCCCCUGGGCCUGCACUGACGCUCAUGCACGAAAGCGUGGGGAGCAAACA